GGGCGAGUAGUUCAGUGGUAGAACGCUGUCCUUAUAAGACAGAAGUCGAAGGUUCGAUCCCUUCCUCGCCCA
rnacentral:tRNA from 1 species